UACAGAGGUCCCAAGCGUUGUUCGGAUUCACUGGGCGUAAAGGGUGCGCAGGUGGUCGGGUAAGUCUGAUGUGAAAUCCCGCAGCUUAACUGCGGAAUGGCAUUGGAUACUAUUUGGCUAGAGGGUUGGAGGGGGGACUGGAAUUCUCGGUGUAGCAGUGAAAUGCGUAGAUAUCGAGAGGAACACCAGUGGCGAAGGCGAGUCCCUGGA
rnacentral:rRNA from 1 species